ACUGUUCCUAGCUCCAAAGCGGCGGGGGUUGGGGCGGCCGGCCGCCCCCGGGGUCGGGCCAGCCCCCCCCGCCGCUGCUCCUGCGCCUCUCCACGCUUCCAGCUUCCAACCCCUGCGCGCGCCUGCGGCCGCUCGCCAGUCCCAAGGCUCCGAUGCUGCUGCUAGCUCCCGCCGAGGGCGCUUAGAACUUCAUCAGGUGCGGGCGGUCGCCGUCCUUCAGGGUGAAGCGGGUCGACAGGUAGCCCUUCAGGUCGGCCGACAGGGCCGGCAGCAGAGCGGCGUCCAGGGUCUUCUGGUUGGCGAUGUACUCCUGGCUGAGCACGUUCUUCUUCGCCUCCGACUGGUCGAAGAACUCCUUCUCGCCCUUCUUGCUCGACUUGCUCUCCACCGCCUUGAAGUAGCUGUCCGUGAACUUCGACAGGUCCAGCUUGGGCAGCGACACCUUGGUGCUGGUGCCAAUCACGUACGCGGCGUUGACGCGACGCACCGGCACACCGUUCAGCUUGAACGGGCCGGUAACGAGCAGCAGGCCCGAAGGCAGCUGGCCCAGGAAGAUGACACGCUUGCCCUUGAAGCGACCGGCCAGCAGAAUCAGCACGGUGCCUGGCGUGAUGCUGGCGCGCAGCUUGGUCUGCUUGUGCACAGCGUUGUGCGACAGAGGCUUGGGCACAUCAUCGGCGGGGUAAAAGCGGGGAGCCUUGCCCUCAGCCUGCUUGGCCACAGCCUUCUUGGCGGGCGCGGGGAACUUGCCGCCGUUCUUCUUCUUGAUCGCCCACAGACCCUUGCGCCUGCAGACAGAGAAGCGGCGGUCAGCAUUGCGGCGGCGCCCACACAGCCGAAGAGUGCGCUAUAACUACACAGGACGCUUCAACCUGCAAAGGUAUACAGGUAAACAUUGCGAGGGCCGCCGGCAACAAGCAACCCGCCGGAAAUGCGCUCACUUGUAGGUCUUGGCCCGGCCCUCAGCGGUGAUACCGCGGGCAACGAAAGUGGCGGGCUUGGCCAUGGUGCUACGUCCACCUGCUGAAAGAGAGAGAGUGGUGUUCGCCUGCCGCUGUGAAGGGUCUCGCGAGUCACAUUGCAUGGGGAAUGGGGGCGGCCGGCAUAGCCCACAUUUCCCAAUCCUAUGACGCUAAACUGGCUUUAUAUUAAUACCUUAAUACAAUAGUUGCGACAGUGAGGCUCUCUGAGGGCUAGUAGACCUAAUCGCGACCAGAUUUCUCCCGCAAGGCCGCUAUAGUAUCCGUUUACGCAUAGGACUAGCGUCAUGAGACGUAAUGGACUGUCGCCAAGCCAUCGUCCAGGACUUUCUGCGUCGGAAGCGGUUUCAGACACUCCCCAGCGUGUGCCUCCCCCACACGCCACUUGGCGGGCCGACGGCAACCGGUUCCUUUGCCCCUCUGCGCUGCAUUGCGAACAUGCCGGCGGCUGUACCUGCUCCCAGAGACUCACUCUUGGUUCAUGUGUGUGGGUGGGUUGCAGGGGUUGCAGGGACAGCAGGCUGUGAUGGCGCAGGCCGUUGCCUGGGGUCCCGCAACGGCAGUAGACAUCGACUGCAGGCCACCUACGCACAACAGCGCAGCCCAUCUCCUCUUGACAGGCUGGUAUCGCUGCUACGGUAGCCUUCUGCUGUGGCCAACUCAGCAUGCAAGAGCCUGGUCGCUGCAUCGGGGCUCAGGGUUACCCCGCGUGUGGCUGCAACGCUACCGUUCCGGGCUCGUGGCGCUAGCCCGACCGCGGCCUUCCCCUCCCCAGUGCAACCCUACACGCGCCCCCUUUCCGUCUGGCAGGAUGCUACGCAGCCCAUCACGCCUCACGCCCUGCGCCUUGGCUUCCCCAUGCAGGCAGCAGCGCUGCGCGCGGCAGGAUGGCUGGCGCCGGCGCCUCGCCGCCUUUGCAGCGCCCGCCUUUGCAGCGCCCGCCUUUGCAGCGCCCGCCUUUGCAGCGGCUUGCCAGGGCUGGGGCCUGCCAGGGCUGGGGCGGCGCCGCUGGGGCCACUCCCUCGCGCGCGGGCUGUCGCUGGCGCAGCGGCACCUGGCACAGGCACUGGCUGCGCGGGCACCGGUGCCGCAGACCGGGGCGGGCAGCGCGCGCAUGUGUGUGUGUGGGCCCCCACCGAGCGGCUGCCUGUGGGAGGCGGAUGCGGCCGGGUGUGCACGUGUGUUCAGACGGCAACGCCGGAGUAGCUGCGCCCACCGAGCUGCCCCCCGGGCGGCACGGUGCUCAUCGCGGGAUGCACGGCACACAGCAAGACACGCCGUACCGCACGACAUGCAGUACCGCACCGUGCCGGCCGAGCCCUAGCCCGGGAGCGGGACAUGCAACGCGGCGGUGGCUGCGGCGGCCUGGCGGCGGUGGCGCUAGGCAGCCUGGCGGGGAAGCCGCUGCGUUCUGUUCGUGCUCGCUGCGGCAUGAGGAUGACUGCGCCCGGUGGUUCUCACCGCCAUGCUCAACCUCGUGUCGCUCAUGCGCCUACGCUCAGUGCCUGUGGUGGUGCGCAGGCGCUUAGGGACGUGGGCAGGCGGGGAUCUUGGGCGGCGCUGGGAGAAGCUGCACGGGAGGCGGAGGGUAUGGCCACCCAUGGGCAUGGCAGGGCAGCUGGGGGCCGUUGCACCCGGCGCCAUUGCACCUGUGCCGGGCGCUGUCCAGCGUGCUGGUGUGGGCCCGGGAAAAGCCGCCAUUACACACACACACACACACACACACACACACACACACACACACACACACACACACACACACACACACACACACACGUGCAUUUGCCGUCAUGCAUGCGCCCAUGCCGUCCCCCGCCUGUUUACUUGCUCGUGGUCGCCCACCCUCCGUCUCUUUCCUAAAUCGCGCAACCCCUAGUAUAGUUAAUUGGGCUGGGACUGGGCUGCGUGUUUGCUCUUGCUCGUCGCGCGCCGCCGCGCUAACAUGUUCCUUCGCUCUUGUUCGUGACACUCCCCUGCUGCCGCCCUGUGCUCUGUUGUUUUCUUAUUCGCUCGUAGGUGAGAAUUUCAUCGAGGAUUGGGCGGGAGCUUGGACUUAGCGGCCAGGAGUAGCGACGCGGAGCUAGGAAUUGUAGGAGUGCUUGGGCCUCACGGUACCGUGAGCACAUGCAUGGGUUUGCACCCUUGAGAGCGUGUGGACACUAAUCCCCCCUCGAGGUUAGAGUAGCGGGGGUUGCGCGAUUUCCGGUUGGUAAGACCGGCGGCUCACCGCAGCAGGUAUGCGAGGUAACUUCAGGUAACAUCCGUAAACCGUCGCUUUGCUGCAUCGCAUACACUGUCUUUGCGCAACGUUUUCCUUGUGCUCUUUAACACACACACACACACACACUGCAUCGCAUACACUGUCUUUGCGCAUCGUUUUCCUUGUGCUCUUUAACACACACACACACACACACACACACACACACACAUUCACCGUCGCUUUGCUGCAUCGCAUACACUGUCUUUGCGCAACGUUUUCCUUGUGCUCUUUACACACAUUCACACACACAUUCAAACACACAUUCGUUUUUAGUGGCGAGUCUUUGCGCUUUGUUCUGGUGCUCUUUGAAAUACAGCGGCCCGCGCUCCAAACCUGCACGUGUGCCGCUGUCAGCUGUCCGCUAGCAACUUGCCGCGGACGCCGCCGUGUGUCCCUACUCCCUACACGGGCACGUGCUGAUUACCGUGCCGGGGAGGUGCGCUGAUCGUGCCCACCUACCCCGCCUACCCGCCCCGCUUGCCUCCACACCACGGGCGGCCGGGCGCUUGGCGAGCGGCCAGGUGCGGUGGCCUGCGGCCACCCUCCAUGAUGCCCUGCAUCAGUGCAUGCUAUGGCCUAAGGCGGCGCGCCGGGCUAGGGGCCCACCGUGGGGCUCACCCCAAGCUCACUCAGGUCUUAGGUGCUCGCCGCCUGUACGUGUUCCCGUGGUUGGCCUGCGGCCCUGCGGGCUACGGCCCCGCCCCCACAUGAAGCUCUUCACUUCCUCAGCCCCCCCCCAAAGUGCCACCGGGUGCCUUCAACACGGCAGCACCCCUGCCUUGCAAAGGACUCUGUGGUGAUGGAGUGACUGAGGGACUGGACCCGCGGACAAAAAGCGCUUUGGCUGGCAGCCAGUGCCUUCAGAGGUCCAGACCGUGGCUUGGUGUGUGUGGGGCACACGCUUGCGGCGUGAUGUUAAGGCUUGGAAGCUUGCGGAGUGCGUGGAGUGCGCCGCGCGGGGGCCUGGCUGAACCUAGCACUCCCAAUGUGGUAAACGCAGGUGGGUCGUGUCCAUCUGUCACCUCUGGCCUCCACUCUCAAACAUGUGCACAUAAUUAGCCUGCACGGCGUGGCUGAAAGGUACAUGGCCAUAAGCCCCCUGCAAGUUGGAGGGUGGGGGCUGGUUCGCAGGGCCGAGCCAGGUCCCGCUGCGCGCGUCGGCGCGUGCUUCCGACCCACACGCGACACGCAACCCAGCCUUGACCUGCGCUGACCCUGUGGCCAACUGUUGCGGCGGGGUCCCGCGGUUCAGUCACUGGGUGCUCAGGCUGAAAGCAAAUCGCUCCUAAUCAGUAAGCAUGAGGGUUCUCUCCUCGGCAUGUGUAGCGCUGAGAUGCUGGCAAGAACGCUGCCAAACGCAUGCAUUGCAGUUGCACGGCUUGCCUUUAACCCUCACCAAACUUCUUGCCUUCAUAGUUACGUGUGCAUAUAACUCCCUGAUUAGAGGAGCGGCCCAGGCUGUUUCCUGCUGCUUCGCUCCAGGACUCGAGCGCGCCAACUGCAGAGCCCAACCUCGCGAGCCAGGCAUGUCGUGUCUAUGGCCGUAGCAACCUUUACUCCAUUAUUCAGCUUUGUGUAAACGCCUGUAGCUGACUAAACGGCUAUCUCCGUGCUCCACGCGUGCAGGCCAGCAUGCCAGCGGGUGAGCGGCCCAACGCGGGCCCUGGUGGCGAUGCGUCCGCGGCUAAGGCGGCAUCUCAAGGAGGGCAGCAGCAACAGCAGACCACGCCGGUCCUGAGCUGGAACGGGGAUACGCAAGUGGCCAUGUUCAUCACGGUCCUGCUGCUCCUUAACCUGAUGAAAUGGGUAGGUUAAACUGUUCUUGAGCAGCCUCUGGGUGCUCAUGUGCAGCGUGCAAUUGUGGCGACAAGUUUGCUGCCGGGCCGCUGCGUCGGCCCUUCCCAUGUCCGCCACCUUCCGCUCCUCCCCCGUCUGCCCCGCUUUACAGGCCAUGACCCCGCCAUGCACUUGCUGAGCAGCAAGCAGCUGGCCGCGGCUGAUGCCUCGGCCGCAGCGCUGGCUGGCUCCCUGCCUGCGCCCCGCGGCUGCGCAGGCGAGCCACAGCAGCAGCAGCAGCGCAGCAGCAGCAGCAGCCGCGUGGCUGUACGAUUGCAAACUGUACCAUAAUCUGCUGCGCGCAGACGACCGAAGCAGCUCUACUGUUUAUAUUAUUAUCUGUGCCUCCUGGCACCUGCUUGUGGCGGGUCCUAUUGUGGCGCUGCUGCGUGUCCGGUGCGGGGGGGAGGGGGGCCGCGCGUGUGCUGCCAGUCGGUUGCACGAUGCCUGAUAGGUCCGCUGCUAAGGUUACUUGGCGCAGGGCUGCUGGGGGGUUACAGCGGAUGGUUAAGAUGGGCGGCCCGCGUGGGGCGGGGCAGGUGUGCCGCAGCCGCGCCGUCACCAGCCACCACCCGCAGCACCUGCGCUGGAGUACCCACGAGAGUGCGGGAAGAAAUGUUGUCAGUACCCAUGGUGUGAUUCUAACCGUUAUAUUGUAUUGGGUGUUGGGUGCCACCGUGUGCUGUCCAUUGUGCUGGUGUUCGCUGGCAGCACAGCCAAGAGGCAGCGUUGACAGAAUGACUGAGAGAUGCAUCCGUCGCACCCAGCAGUGACCCUUGACAGAUUACGUUCGAUGUGCUUUCCUCCGACACCUCCUUGUUACCUUAACUUGUUGCACAAUGACAGCGUGAGAUGCAUGCUGGAAAUGCAGGGACCGCAAAGCAAUGUUGGACUGUUGCAGUAGCGUAGGAGCAGGUAGAUGCACUGGCAUCGUAGUGUGAGGGCUCCUUACAUCCGGGUAUCGGCAGGUCACAGUUCUGGGUGUUGCAGCUGCUAGUAUGUAAUGCUACCAGAAUCACGUGCCGACUCGUCCACUUUCCGUGGGGAGCUCAAGGACUGGCCGUGGACGGAGUGCGUUCGGCUGAGAGCAGUGUUUGCAGCACGACAGCAGCAGGGCGGGUCAGGGGUCAAGGGUGCCCACAAGUGGCCCUCCGUGUACUAGUGUGUACUCCAGUGGCGAGGUCAGGGUGUGUGAGGCCGGAGCCUGAGUGCCUGACGCACAGCAAUAUGGGCAUAACGGUUAGCCCGCCCAACAGCCACUCCCAGCCCUCAACAGGCCACAAAGCCAGCAGUCUUCAUGCACGUGACCAACAUUCACGCAUGGAGAUGUACUUGUGUUGUGCCAUGUAAAACGCACGCGGCGAGCCGUUUGCGGCGCCAAUUGCAACGCACAUUGCAAACCUGUACAAGGAAGGCGAGGCUGGGGCCCCAAGCUAGCCCAACGCACACAAGAACGCACACACGAAACACGCCCGGCACAAACCGCUUAACCUAUUUCCGUUUCUGGCCCGACGUUCCUUUAGCGGGUUACACCUUAACUCAACCUGCCUUAUACCCUGUCCCAUCGCACGUUGCUUCGUUUUGCACGGUGGCCAUGUCCGCAGUGAGCCCGGACUGUAGGUCCGCCCCGCUCCGCCCGGCACUUGCCAACGGCUCCUUACCCGUGCCCACGCUCACUCCACACUCCACAUUUUGACUCCCCGCGCCUCAUACACACCUUGCUCACACGGCGUCAGCAGCGCCCACGCAUGCCUCCGACAAAAUUGGGCUCCGCGCUCGCGGCUCUGCUGCGUACAGCAAUGGCCCUGCGGCGUGCCUGACGCCGACAGCCAAUCCGAAACUGCACGCGCACAUCUCAUUUGGCACUUGAGCAAGCACCAUGCGACCCCGCAUUCGUUCAACCAGUCUUCCAAAUUGCACGCCUCAUAUUCCUCACCCCGCGCUUGGUUCACCCCAGUCCCCCAAGGCAUCGCGUGCCGCCCUUGCGGCGCCCGCCCUUGCGGGCCCCAGACCUUCAACACUCGGCCCCCACAGCACCCGGGCCCGCCCAACAGCCCCUCUGCAGCGGCAGGCCACUCGGCCGCCGCGCGCACACGCUCAAGCACACCUAUCUAGCUUCGCGCUUCGCUUCCUAACACCCCUUAGGUAUUACAACUACGUACCCGGGAGCAACCCACGGCCGUGCAGUCACACCGCCGUGAUUUCAUAGCACGUCCGACACUCCAACGCGCCACUACACAAACAGCAAACAACACCAAGUCCCAGUCCAACUCCUCUAUAUAGCAUGUAAAAAGAAGACGGCCGCUUCCCGGCAUUAACAACUCACGAGGGAAAAGGAUUUAGUGCUCAUCCCCUCAGCGCCAAGCUGCGGGCCGCAACCCAGCUGCUACUGAGGACCUCUUCAGCUGCAGAUCUCACAGCAGCUCAGCUUUGCGGAUCUCUCCAGCAGCAACUCAGCUGUGGGUCUUGAUCUCCUCCUCGCCCAGCAGCAGCUCAGCUGUUGAUCUUGAUCUCCUCCUCGCCCAGCAGCACCAGGCGCCGGAAGUGGCCCAGCGCCCAGAUGGGGAAGAUGUUGCUGCGGCGGCAGGGAGGGGAGGGAGGGGGGUUACAUUCAUGAUUAGUUAAGAAGUGGGGAAGGGGGGAAGGGAUGAAGGAGGAAGAGGGGUAAGAGUGGGCGUUGCAGGUUCAGGACGGAGGGGGGUUUACAAUCAUGACUAGCGAUGGGGUGCGGGGCUGGGCCAGGAAGGAGGGGCGGAGGCUGCGGGCGAGGGUCAAAUGACGUGGUCCCAUGCCCAGGGGCUCAGGCGGCCGGUUGAGGCACGAAAGGACGCAGGUGGGCAAGUGCGAGGGAUGGACUGUGGGUCGGAGCUCCCACUUAGCUGCGCGAAGCAAAUUGGGCCGGGCUGGGCUGGGCUGGGCCACACGGGUGGGCCUGGACCCGGGAGCUGAGCGGAGGUGCCGCCAGCCUCCCCCCUUCAUUAGUAAUCAUGAAUGUAACCCCCCUCGCCGGAGGCCCCCCCCGCUUGUGCGGGCCUGCCUGCCUGCCUGCCUGCCCGCCUGCCUGCCUGCCUGCCUGCCUGCCCGCCUCACCGGUAGUUGGCGUAGGUGAUCAUGCAGUUGCGGUUGAACACGCCGCUGAUGUGCUGCUGCGGCCAGUCGCCGCUGGGCUGCUGCAUGCGCAUCAGGAACACGGCGCCGCGCCGCAGCGGCUCCGGGUCCACCUGGGGCGAGGGGGGCGGGUGUGUGGGGGGCCGCGUGUGUGUAUGUGUUGACGAGGCCCGCCAAGGCGCUUUGUGCAUGUGCGUGUGUGUUGAGAUUACGCCUCUGCGGUGGCCGCCCCAGCUCAGCCCAACCCCACCUGUACGUGCCCCAUGCCCACCACCCCUCCCACCUACCGUCCCACCACCGUGCCACUGUCGCGCACAUGUUCAUGGCAGCGCUGUUCAUGUGUUGACGCUGCCGCCCGUGCCCCUAACACACAUGCCCUGAACCCCCACCCACCCACCCACACCCAACCACACAUCGACACACAAACACAAACACACUCGCCCCCUCCCCCUCACCUUGUGGUAUCCCACCGCCAUGAGCGCCAACAUGGCCCAGGCCGUGUUCACCACGUGGCUGUCCCCCUCCAGGUGGCUGUACACCUGGGGGGGUGUGAGAGUGUGUGUGUGUAUGGUUGUUCAAGGCACACGGAAAAACAAGCGCUCAGACUGAAUAUGCGAUGCAGCCACGGCAAACGAAACGAGUGACCCUGUGCACUUGAUAGUCUGUCGUGUGACCACCGCCCAUCCUAUGCCCUCCUCCCCCUCCUCCCUCCUCCCUCCCUCCUCCUCCCCCUCCUCCUCCCUCCCUCCUCCCCCUCCCGCCCCACCUUGUCCUGGCAGCUGAGGUAGCUCUCGCCCCAGCCGCCGUCCGCCCGCUGCUUGUCCGCCAGGAAGGCCGCGCACCGCCGCAGCGCCUCGUCGUUGGCGUACGUGUGCCCCAGCGCCGCCAGCCCAGUGGCGCCGAACCAGCAAGCGUAGGUGAAGCACACGCCCCAGGAGCCGUACCUGCGCAGGAGGAGGGAGGAGGCGGGGGAGGGGGGGAGAGGGGAGAGGGAGGGGUUGUUGAUACCAGCCCGAACUAAACCGAACCGCGCCAAAGUAGCGGAGCGCAGGCAGAGGCGGCAGUUGCGAGGGGGAGGGGAGGGAGGGGUUGUGUAUACCAGCCCAAGCUGGAACAAGGGAAUUCAGCGAAGCACAGGCGCAGGCACAGCACGGGGGGGUGGAGGUAAGGGAGUGUUGGUUGAAGACCAUUCACAGUACUGUGGGAAACCGGAGGCACGGGAAAUGCAGGACAAGACAAGACAGGCUAAACCCGUGGGUGUAGAGGUGUUGACGAAGAGUAGAACCCGGGAUAGCCGCCCUUGCACUCAUUCUGUUUGUUCCCUUCGACGCGGUCUCUCCAAACCUACCAGGAGCCGUCCUUGCGCUGGAUGGAGCGGAUGAAGGCCUCGGCCCGCUUGAGGGAGGCGGCGAUCUCCGCGGCCCGGUGGCCGGGGUGCUGCCUGUGUGUGUGUGCGUGUGGGGGGGGUGCGUGUGUAGGAGUGCGGGUGAGCAGGUGACGGAGCAGGCGCAGGUUGGGACAGGGUGGGAUCAGGACCCAGGACUCCGGCCCCAACACAUUCUACCAUGGACACACAUGCGCAACAUGCACACGUACGCACACACGUACACAGUCACACACUCGCACACACAGUCACACACAGUCACACAAUUCCGCACCCCUUCCCACACGCUCACUGCCCCCCACCCACCCCAUCCCCCGUUCUCUCACUUCCUGAAGCUGCACAGCGCGGUGAUGCAGGCGCUGGUGCACUCGACGUAGCUGUAGUCCACGAUGAUGUCGCCAAACGUCUCGGCGGGGUUCAGGAUCUGGGGGGGAGGAAGGGAUGGGGGGUGGUUGGGGGAGGGUUGCGGGUUGGGGGCGUGGAGGGGCCCCGGCAGGGGGCGGGGAUGGUUGGGGAGUUACAGCUAAGGUAAGGGGGGGCGGGCGGCUGGGGGAGUAGAACACCGCCCCACCGACACCCACAACCACACCCACACACGCACACGCACACGCACACCCCCCCCCCACACCCACACACACCCACACACAGACACGCCUAUGCUUUGCUGCAUCGCAUACACUGUCUUUGCGCUAUGUGUUCCACGUGCGCUAUGCUUUCCAUGUGCUAUUUAAACACCAACCUCUCCCCCCCCCCACCGCCCGCCCCGCCCCGCCCCGCCCCCACCUCCAGCCAGUGGAAGCUGCGCGUGUUCUCGUACGUGGCCAUGCCGCCGUCCCGGUUCUGGUAGCUCAGGAUGACGUUGACGCAGUCGUACAGCCGCUCGGGCGAGAUGGCGGGGCCCACCUGCGGGGGUUGGCGCGUGUGUGUAUUGUAGGUGUGGGUGUGCGAUGGGACAGUGGUAAGGCAGGUUGGUAAAGUCCCGUAGGUUGGGAGGUGAAGCACCCACCGCAUCCACCGGCCAGCCAGCCACCGCUCUACCCGCACGUGGCUUCCGGGGAAGUCAUCAGGGUUAACUUGAACAAUCUCUUACGCCCAAGAUCUUUAAUGACAUUACGCUCAACCCGCCCCCCCCCUCCCAGCCACCCCCACCCGCCCAUGCCGCCCCUCCCGCCACCAGCUCCUCCGGCAACAGCGCCAGUGUGAGCGCCGCCUUCAGUCCCUCGCACACAUAUGCACACACACACAACCAACCCGCUCCCCACAUUCCCUCCCACCCCCGCCCCCAAUCUCCCCCCUUUCUUCCCACCAGCUCCUCUGGCAGCAGCGCAAGCGUGAGCGCCGCCUUCAGUCCCUCGCUGGAGCAGUCGGAGAUGGGCCAGCCGUGGUCGCGCGAUGAGAAGGGCCAGGCGCCCUUGCUGAUGUGGCGGUAGUAGGCGGACAGCGGCGCCGCGGCCUCCUCAAUCACCUGUGCGCGGAGGGAGGGAGGGAGGGUGAGGGCGGAGGUGAGGGUGGAAGUGUGGGUGGAGGUGUGGGUGGAGGUGUGGGUGGAAGUGACCUCCACUAACAAAUACACUUUAACACUUCUCUACACACGCACACACAACCCACGUAGCAAGGAAGUGACUCCGGCGCCGUUUUGUUAUUGUAUCCUAACACACACCCUCCGCCGCCCCCCCUUCCGCACCUGGCUCUGCUCCACGUACUCGUGCGCCUUGCGCAGGCAGUGGCCCGACACCUGCAGCAGCCCGGCCUCGGCGAUGGCCUGCGCUCGUGCGAGUGAUAUUAUUGGAGGGAUCACAUUCAUAAGUAGUUAAGGAAAUGGUAGACGGUAGACCAUCUUGCGGAACAUGAAGCGUUCGGGGGGGGGCGGGUUGGGAUGGGAGAGAAAUGGGUUGCGUCUUGGCGUGUAGCACCAGCAAUCAAUACUGGAGCGGUGGGCUGCAACCCACAACAACUUGAGCCGGCCGCGAAGCAGCCCUUCCACGAAAAGCUACCUCCCUCUCACUCGGGAUUGGGAAAGCUACAACCCCCGCCCCAGUGCCCUCACUCCCUCACCCACCACCCAGCCUCCCCCUCCCCCUCCCCCUCCCCCUCCCCNNNNNNNNNNNNNNNNNNNNNNNNNNNNNNNNNNNNNNNNNNNNNNNNNNNNNNNNNNNNNNNNNNNNNNNNNNNNNNNNNNNNNNNNNNNNNNNNNNNNCCUCCCCCCCUCCCCCACCCUCCCCCCCUCCCUCCUGCCCGCACCUGCACUGCGAAGCUGGUGUCCCACAGUUGGCUGCCGUUGUAGCCCUGCAUCUUCAGCCCGUCCUCCGCCACCCACAGGUAGUCGUGCACACGGGGCAGGUGCCUGGCGGGUGGGUGGUGGGUGGUGGGGUUGGGGGGUGGGGGUGGGGGUGGGGGUGGAGGUUCGGAGAACUUUGACAUGAAGUGGUAGAGCGUGAGCAGCACUUGCAACGAUUGGAGGAGCGGGAGUGGGAGGGUGUGAGUUGGGAGGAGGAAGGGGAGUCGGAGUGCGGAGGAGGAAGGUGAAUGUGGUCAAUGGGGAAUGGGUGGUGUGUGCAGCGUGCGUGCCAGUGUGUGUCUCCUCCUCCUUCCUCCACCCCCCCUGCCCCCCCUCACUUCUGGAAGGCCUUGCCGCCGGGCUCCUCCAGCCAGCAGGCCAGCAUGUUGAUCACCUUGUUGACAGGCCCGAUGUCCACAUAGCGCGUGUUCUCGUCCUGCAGGCGGGUGCGUGCGUGCGUGUGCAUUUGUAUGUGUUAAAGAGCACAAGGAAAACAUUGCGCAAAGACAGUGUAUGCGAUGCAGCAAAGCGAUUUGUAUUGUGUGCGUGUGUUUGUACUUUCUAAAACAACGCGUGUGCGCGUGUGUUGUAGAGAGCAUAAGGGCUUAAAUUACGCCCGUCAUUGUCAUGGGUAGGUGUCGAAAACCACCACAGGGGGACAGUCAACCCCUCCUCCUCCCCCUCCACCUCCCCCCUCCUCCUCCCCCCACCCCCCUACCUCGUAGUGUAUGUGCUUCAUGCACUCGGCCAGCGCCGCCCGCCGCAGCCAACUGCCCUGCAGCACGUUCUCAGCCUUGUACAGCGCCCACCACAGGAUGUCCUGUCCGGGGUUGGGGUGUCACGGGUGGUGUAGGGGGUUACAUUCAUGCAUUAUAUAGGAUUAUAUAGAUGGGAAAAUAUGGCAAGGGAUCCUCAUUCGUCCACGGAGCACGUUGAGAUCUUCCUACACACGCACACACACACACACACACACACACACACGCACACGCACCUGCACCAGGGGGUGGGGGUAGUACAGGUCCUCCUUGGCGCACUGGUUGCGGGCGGCGUUCCAGUCGACCCGGCCGUACGGCAUGGGGUACAGCUCCUGCCUGCGGCGGCGUGGCAGGCCCACGGGGACAGAGGGCGGGUGUACCAGUGGCGGUGGGUUACAUUCAUGAUUAGUUAAGGAAGUGGUAGACGGUAGUAGGUGGGAGGGGAAAGGGAGCGCCGAGCCCAUGCGUGGGGGUCCUGUACAUGGAUGCGCGUGUAUAUCUACGUGCACUGUGCAUGGCACGCGCGCCGACCCCCACCGCCCCCCACUCCCAUCCCCAUCCCUCCCCACACACACGCACGCCCUCCCCACCUGAUGGCGGCGGUGAGCGGCGUCUCCUGGCACGUGCCGCGCUUGCCGUACACGUAGCUCAUGGGCAGGUACACCUGAGGAGCGGGGGAGGGGGGAGAAGCGGGUCGGGGGAGCGGGGGUUGGUGCCGGGGUUUGUGGGGCGUGUGUGAGCCGCCUGGUGGGUGAUCCGCACCACCCCUAGAGCUCAGGCCACUCGCCGCGAACCCGCCUCUUGCGCGCGCGCCCAGCCCCACGCCCAGCCCUUGACCCUGAGCCUAUCUUGAACCCCAACCCAGCAUCGCCACCAGCGCACAAACACACACACACACACACACACACGCAGCGCCACGCUUUGCUGCACCGCAUACACUGUCUUUGCGCAAUGUUUUCCUUGAGCUCUUUAACACAGCGCCACAGCCACACACGCACCAUGCGGCAGUGGCACCAGAAGCGGCCCGGGUGCAGCAUGCCGAUGCCCGUCCACUUGCUGGGGGGACAGGGCGGGGGAAGGGCAGGGGCGGGGGCACGGGGAAGGGGAGGGCAGGGAGGGCCGUCGGUGUGGUGCGGCCAGUGCCGGUGGCGCCAGGGGUCAGCUCGAAGGCAUGGCGGGUGGCGGGUUGGCGGGGUGGCACCGUGCCAGCAGCGGCGGCGGUUCUGGGGCGUGCCGCGGGGCCCCCUGCCGCGGGGUCCCCUGCCGCCACCCCCUGCCGCCGGUCGGUGCACCGCAGCUCCUGCCCCCGCCCAGGCACUGCCGCACCGCCACACCCCGCGCCGCCGCCAUCCUGGCAAGUCACUGCGCCGGGCCGUGAACCCUACCCGCCUCCCCCGAAGCCCACCCCCCGCAGCCCUCAGCCCCCCAAGGACUGAUGAUGGGUAGCCACCUCCACCCUCCCGCCCUCCUCGCCCUAUUGCAUUGGGUUCGGUUUAGCCCUGGUUAGGCUGGUAUCUACACCCCUCCUUCCUUCCUUCCCUCCCUCCCGCCUCCUCCCUUCCUCCUCCCCCUCCUCACUUGUGUGGCAGCAGCCACAUCUCGGGCGUGAGCGGGUUCAUGCCGUCCCAGCUGUACACGCCCAGCACCGCCAGCCAGAACUUGCCCCAGCUGGUUAUGUAGGUGGCACCGCCGCGGGCGUGCAUCUGGGGGCGGGAGAGGGGAAGGGGUUACAUACAUUCAUGAUUAAUUAAGAAGUGAAGGGGGAGGGGGAGGCAAUUCCAAACCCCAAAUGAAACCGAAGGGGCAUUGCGAGGUUUGGCGGGGGAGGAGAGGGGUUCCAGGCUUGACUAGUGAGAUGAAGACGGUGUUGGGGCAGCGCCGUGUUGCAGACGGGUCAAAAAUGUCCUUGUUGGGAAUGGCGCCGUUGGGAGUGUUGGUUGGGGACUGCAUUUGACUCUCCCCGCGCUUCCCAUCCUCCCCCACCUGCCGUCUAACGAGCGACCGGUAUGCCUAGAAGGCUGGAACCCUGUCCCCCUCUCUCCUCUCCCUCCCCCGAUUCCUUGACUAUGUGGACCAAUUUCGUUGGGCUCGGGCAAUUACCCCCCUCUCCGCCCUUUCCCCCUCCCCCUCCCCCGCUACCCCCUCCCCCGCUACCCCCUCCCCCGCUACCCCCUCCCCCGCUACCCCCUCCCCCGCUACCCCCUCCCCCUCCCCCCCAACCCCGCUACCCCCCACCCCACCCCACUCACCCACUCCCGCGCCUUGACGCACAGCGGCUCCUCCGCCGCCAGCCCCAGCAGCCGGGCCAUCACGUAGCUGAGGGUGGGGGUGCGGGUGGGAGGCGUGCACGGGGGGGGGCCGGUUGCUAGGAUGUUUAGAAAAGCAGUACAGGAUGCACUGGGGGGAGGUUACAUUCACGAUUAGCUAAGGAAGUGGUAGACGGUAGGGGAGGAGUCAAGGACCACCCUGCACCACCCUCCCUCUCCUGCCUACCCGGCAUUUCUCCCCCUCCCUUUCCCGCCACAGCUCCGGUUCUCGGUCUCGGAGCUGGGCAUCGACUACCCGCCCUGCUCCCCGCUUCCCCCACCGCACCCCUCAUGGUGUGGUGCGAGCAGCACCAGGCCCCUCCUCCCUUCUCUCCCCUUGCAUGGACGGCUGACUCCCCCCCUUAGGUUGAUCUGGGAUUGGGACAAGCUGCCCCUCAACCCCUCGGCCCUUCCCUCCUCGGUCCUCCCCCUGGUCUCCCCUCCUCUCCCCCAGUGUGACUCCGUUGUCAAGGCAUAGGCCACGCUCUCCUCCUCGCCCUUUUGCAUUGGGUUCGGUUUAGUUUGGGCUGGGAUCUACACACACACACACACACACACACGUCCUCCCUCCGCCUCCUUGCCUCCCCUCCUCUCUCCCCCUCCUCCCCCCCUCCCUUCUUAACUAAUCAUGAGUGUAACCCCCUUGCUGCUCACUUGAGGCCGGUGCCGAACAUGGUGCUGCCACCCUCAAUGUGCAGACCGAAGCCGCCGUCCUCGUUCUGGUGGUUGUGCAGGUAGCGCAGGGCCUCCUUCUUGUGAGCGGGGCUGAAGAUCUGGGGAACAGGCAGGAGGGAGGGGUUGCAAUCAUGAUUAAUGAGGAAGAAGCGACUUUGGAGCCGGGCACAUAAGUACAGCAGGCGCGUCGUUACGGGGGGGUGACAUUCAUGAUUAUUCAGGCAGUGGGAGGGAGGGGGGAGGGGGGAGAGGGAAGGACGGGGCAUGGCUGGGUUGGAGACGGCGGCGUGGAAAUGGUGCAGCUUUCCACGGAGAGGGGGGUUGUAGAUACCAGCCCAAACCAAAGUGAACCCAAUGCAACCGAGCGAGGAGGAGAGCGUGGGGGGAGGAGGGACGGUGACGGGUGGGGAAGGGGGAAGCUGCCCAUGCAGAAAUCCCCUCAAGUUCGGGGGCCUGCGGUGGUGUGGGCGAGGCGAGGUCGUGUAUGUGCGCGUAUGCAUAUGCGUGUGUGUAGGCGCCUGGGCGCGCCGCCAGCCCGCGGCACGGACACGCGUGUCAUGUCUGCCCGCCCUUCCGGGCUGGCCCCCGCACCUGUGCCCCGGCCCCUCCGAACCGCCCAGCCAAAAGGACUGGCCCUGAUGCAGACACCCUCACGUGCGACUUGCGCAUCACCACAGCCUGGCAAAACACCACACGCGACACGCCCUACCCACCGCGACACGCCCAGCCCACAGCCUGGCCCGACACAACACGCGACACGCGACACGCCCUGUCCUGCAUGCCGUGUCCUGCAUGCCGCAUUCCGCGCAGCCCCAGCCCCCAUGUCCGGUGUCGUUGUCCUCCCCCAGAGCCUCGCACCUCCUCACCUGCCCCGUUCCCACACACGCCUCGUCCCGGCCUAUGGCAUGCAGAUCGCGGCCCUUUCACGAGCCCUUGCUGCGUUUCAUGCCCAUGUGUGGCGCCCCCCUGCAAUGCCCGCACCCCCCUCCCCCCACACGCACACACGCGCACAGCACGUAACCAUGCCCCCCUCCCCGUCCCCCCUUCUGCCCUUGACUCACCCCUCCACACACGCACCUGGUCUAGCGCACCGCAGGUGUAGAGCGUGAUGACCAGGCCAGGCAGCAGAAACAUCGGGCCACCGUAAUCACCCGGAAAGUGGCCGUCCUCCUGCUGCAGGCACUCAUAGAAGCUGAUCGCACCCUUUAGAUGCUCCUCCACGCGCUCAGCGUCGGGCGCGUCAGGCACCGGGCCGGAUGGCGGGGAAUGCUUCUUGGCGCGAAUGCGGUCCGCGGACUGCAGGCGCAGCAGCUCAUCGCCCGAGUGGUGGUGUUUAUCUUUAUUGGCUGUGAACUCUUCGCGCAGACGCUCCGCCUCAGCGCGCUGCUCAGGGGUGCCUGCCGCUGGGUCAUACUCCCAAGUCUGGCGUCCUUUGUUCCCAUUCAGCGAGCGCAGCAGCGGACCGCCAGUUGUGCCGGCAGAAAUGAAUUUCCACAUGGCAGUCCACUAUUUAAGAAGCACUAGACGAAUGCGUUACAAGCCCCCGCGCUUCCUGGGCGCGCUGGUCGCCUCAAGCUCUGUAAGGAGUCAAUAUGGUAUCUCUUCGCGGUUUAGCCUUGGCAGGCCUGGGCGUGCGUAAGAGCACUUCGCUGGCAAAGAGGAGAAGUUGAUGGAACCCAGCUGGUCAGGUCUUAGCUCCCUAUCGCGCAGCAAAUGUAUUUCUAUGGCACCGUGGCGUGCACCAAUGUGUGUAAAAGUGAAGUGCAAGCUCCGCUGGGCGCGCGGGGAUCGCAGGGGUCGCGACCGGCAUGCGCGGGCAACCGUACCGGUACCGUGUGGGUAUGGGCGGCGUGUCCGGCCGUGUCAGGUCGCCGGGUGCAAUCGCUGCCGAAGGUGCCUUACUUUAGUAGCAAAUGUACUCCUUUGAUAAUCAACAUAGAAGCAUGCGCUAGGAGGGUGAGAACCUUGGGGAUGGCGAGUGAUGGUUGCAACCCGAGUGGUGGGUCAGCAACGGGGAGUCCCGGGUCUGCUGGCUACGUGGGCGGGGGGUGGCGGGGGCUGCGGCGUGCCUGUGGCCAGGUCGUCCCAGGUCCGCUGGAUGGCCCGGCCGGGUCUACUGGACUGGGCGAAUGGCCCGGCCGGGCGGCAUCAGGCAUGCUAGGCGGCCGGGCCGGGUCGGCAGGAUGGUUGCAGCAGCGUCUACACAAGCAACAGCAUUAACAUUACCCCAUGUAUGAGGAGUUACCUCGAUAUACAAGGAAGCACUUGGAUCAAAAGCCUAUCCGGUUCGGCUUCGGUCUGCUAGCGUGUCGACUGGCGCGCCCCAGCAUGUCCGUAGGCUCUUGAAUAGGCAGGCCUUCCCCUGCCUUGCAGCAUGCGCUUCUUUCCUAUUCUUUCUGCUAUCUUUUACACACCUUUACUAUCAGUCAAGACGCGUGAUGUGCGCACGGGUCGGGUCGCUGCGGUUGGAUGUCUGUGCUGGGGUUGCGGGUUCGGUCGCAAGGGUGCGGACUGCCUGGGGUCUGGGCGAGCAAUUCGGCAUGACUGGCCUGCUCUGCAGCCGGGGGGCAUGCCCUGCGAGGUCUGCCACAGUGCCACACUCACACGUGGGGUCGUACCGUAUACCCCGCCCGGUCGCUGCUUGUUCGCCUCGCAAUGACGCCCGGCUCACUCGAGACGUCUGGGCACUGAUGACAGCAGCAGGGGGGGGGGUAGGAAACAAAGUGCCAGACCCCAUGCCCCGAAAUCCCCCGGGCCCCCCCUUGAGGGGACGACCGACCCCCCGACGGACAAAACCUUGUUGUUCAGGGGUUAAAACCCCUCCAUUUUAUACCGAGCACGAGCGGUCCUGUUUUGAGACUUCGGUCACAGGCGGAAUCCUAUCCAUGGAAAUCCCCUCGACCCAGACCACCCCGCGCUCAACUCUCUGCCGCGUGACGGUUACACAGUGUGCAUCGGCAGCCUUGUUAGACGUGAACUCAUGCGCACCAGCGCUUCAGAGCCCAGCUGUGUCAGUGCGCAUGUGUUGAAUGUGGAGACAUGUCCAGACAUGUCCACGCCUGGACGCGCAACUUAGCCCUCCCACGCUUUGUUUGCGCUUAGUACGUCAUAACAUGCACAUAUGAGCCUCAUACUGCUGCGUUUGACCCCUAGUUCUGCUUGUGGGGCGCUUCCCGAAAUCCGCCAGGAUGGGCUCCCGAAACCCGACGGAGCCCCAACUUUUUGAGAAUGGAUCCCCCUUGUACCCAGGACGAGGACCGACCCCCCAACUUUGGCGGCCCAGAACUUCCUCACCAGACACCCCCUCAGAAAACAAGGGGUGUCAGCUUUGUACAGCUGGAAAAUGGGCUGAGCCCCUAGAGCAAGGGAUGUGACGAUGGGUACCGGCGAUAUACUGCGACAUAAACAGCACCCUUGCAAGCCCAGCGGGACUGGCAAAGGGGCAUACCAAAGGCACCGCCACGCCCUGUCCACGCCACUCCACACAUGAGCCCGUGAUACCUCAUUCCAAAUCCCUCACAAGCACCACAAACGGCUAGUGGGGCUCGGGCGCGUGAUCCGGGGCCGCGACAUAAUUAAGGCGGGAUCGGCACGCAUGGUUCGGCUGUUGCACAAACUUUCGACAUUCUUGCCCCAAGACGCUUGUCGUCGACAUGUUUUGAUACAUGGAUGUAAGAUAUUCAGGGCCCGAGAGCUAUACGGUACUCGCGGACUGAAGAAAGUCAAGAUGUCCAUGGACUCGCGAGGUCGCUUCUCGCUCCGGCAGGCAGGCAGGCAGGCACGGACAGGGGCAAUCCUGGGGGGCUUCGCCCCCCCUGGAUCGCUUCGCUCAGGGGGCUCAGCCCAACUAGAAGUACGUGCAUAAUGCUCCCCUAAAGCUCUGUAAUUUUGAGCAUGGGGUAAGAACCAGAGCUUUCUCCCCCCCCCCUGACAGCAGCGUGGGAAAGCCAUGCAACAAAGCGAGCCUCGGGUGGGACCAAAAGUCCAAAACCUCCUACCGCACCGUACUCACUCACAUUGUCUCACAUCAACCAACACGAGCCCCAGGCGCUGGCCGGUACCGCAGCAGGCAGCUUGGCGCAAACUCGUGCACAAUCGAGCGCCAGAACUGAUCAUCACGGCUGUGACCCUGUUGCCUGGUGUUGCUCAGUUCAUCAGGGGAAGGCGUGCACGCGAGGUGCGGGGCCGGGCGAGGUGCAGGGGUGCGGGGGUGCGGGGCACCCGCGGCGAGGUGUGUUGUCUGUCCACCUGUCCCAGCAACACGUCAGAGGCCACCGCACCAGCCACCAGAACAAAGGGCACCCCUCCGGGCACCCAAGAAAGCACGCGAAGCAACAACAAACUCACAGAACAGAGCAAGAAACAGACGAACCCAGCACCCAAACCCAACCCACCGCAAGUGCGCGCACAACAGAACGCAGGCACACCCGCACCCACACGCUAUAGAACGGGCCCUUGGACCCCAUACGGUACAGGCCAGGGCACACAGACAGCUGCCAACCGACCGCCACGCACGCCCACGCACAGAAACGAGCGGCCGCGCUCACUGGCCCAGCAACAAAGCUCAGACCAGAAGUUGCUCGGGAACCACCGCGGGCGCAAGACCAAACGCAGGGACACACACCACCACCACGUCGCAGACCGUGUCAUGUGCCCCACUCAGCCGGGGGCACCCAGACAGCGGUUUUCCGCCCACCCCGCGCGCCCACCUAUCCAAGCCAAGCAGCCGCGCGCAGUGACCCAGCAGACCAGGUGCCGCACAGGAACCACCGCAGGUGAACGACCCGCCCCAAACCACUAAAAGGGCCGCUCACAGAGCGCCCGAAAGAACUCCGCUUCCGUGCGCGUCGCGCCCUGUAGCGCCCUCCAACAGCUGCGGCGCCAGGCCCCGCGGGCACACAAGAGGUCCACAGUCCGCCACGCAGUCCCGCUCCCAGGUGCAGACCUCACCGCGGAGGGACCUCAGAACCAGCAGUGCAGCAGCAGAAGGCUGGGAGCGCAGUCCCCCCCUGCAAUUUGGUGUGCGGUGCCGGUCUGGCAAGGUUGUCACGUGCCAGUUGACCCAAUUGUUACGCGUGCGUGUCAGCGGGUGUCAGAAGGCCGUCAAGCUACAGGUUGCAGUGCUCGUAUCUUCCAUCUACACUGUAGAAAUCUGCCCAAAAUCCGCCGAAGGCGGAGAAAAAUUUUUGGGUUUGGGUGCCACGCAUCUACGCAGUGUAGACAGUUUUGGCCGGUUUUGGCGCAAAAAUGGGGGAAGCGUAGACGUUUUGGGGGGCUUGGGGGCUUAAGUGUAGAUGCCGCGGUCAGGGUCAUCUACGCAUGUGUAGAUGCCGGGUGCCUGAGGGCAUCUACAAGAUACGAGCACUGACAGGUUGCUGCCGCUUUGCUACCUGCAGGCUAGCUUGGGACACACAACCCAGCCGCUACACAACCUGGGUGGGGCGAGGCCCCGCAAGCAGCGGCUUUGUAUUAUUUUGGGGCAGUGCACGCUUGAAUGCACGUGCACGGCGGAAGUGAGUAAGCACCCGGUGACUCGGUAAGCCCCUUGUCCCGCGUUCUGGCCGUCUGGCGCCCUACUGUAGUGCCCCACACACGGAACGCCCGUCCCCUGCCAUCCGUCCGCGCAUGUCCUUCCCUAAUGACAGAUAGGCCUUCGGGCGCCCAGCCGUGAGUAAGAGACAAGAUUGUGGUUUCCCUCGCAUGGGAAAAGUGGGCUGCGCCCACGCCACGUCUCUAGUCUGAGGCCGCAAGCGUCUACCUCACCUCCCGGGUCAUAGUCGGGGUCGGUUAGGGUCGGUUCGUGCAGGCACAGCCCGCCAUGCGUCCAGCCACAGUCCGCUGCCAAGCAGCCAGCAAUACACAGGAAACCCCCUAGCCACAGCACUCCUCACUGCUGCGGCCUAUGCUCGCCAGCAAAGACCGCUAACCAGACUGAACCAGAACAGGUCCUCUGCGAAGACGAAAAGCCACAUUGGGCCCCUGAGAAACCGAAACGUCGCUGAUCGGCGAGCAGCCGACGGAGUUAGCAUGCACUGGAGUUGCGUAAGAUGUCGUGGCGAACAAAUAUAUCUUUGCCGGCUUUGAACGGCGCCCCGUGACCGGGAAAGUAUCGGCAAAGGGUCCCACCAGGCAGAGCAUAUUGUUGCUAGACAUGCCCAGCGGUUUUGUCAUGAUAUCGCAUAUCGUAAGAGCAGGGCCAAGUUUGCAAGCGACACCACGAGCAAAAAGCGGCGGCGACCAGCGAACUAGGGUUUAUAUUUUGGGCUUUGCAAUCGACACGGUCAACCAUGAAGCAUACGCUCGUGCCUAUGGGGGCUGCGCGUGCGCUCAAUUAGCAGUCGAACACGGAUAUCCCUCCUGUUCGCCGCUUAUGCGCCUCGUAGUGACGCCCGGCUCACAUUAUAAUUCCUGGGCAACGAUAAAAGCAGAUUAAUAAGUCCAAGCAACAAAUCGAGCAAAACCAAGCUGGUCCGUACACGCACAUGAAGUUACCACAUGGCUUGACAUUCGGUUGGCAGCAGACAGAACUCAACUCAAGAAAACCUGCAUUUUACACGCUAGAUUGGCACGGCCCACAAGAGGAGCCUGGCGAAACCUCCGAGACGUCUCCAAGCUACGUCCAAUCGGCGUGCGCUUCGUUCUCAAAGCAGGUAAGGCUCGCACAUGUUGCCUCAGACUGCAUGUAAAUGCUCCGAAGACCGGGCUGCCAUAAGUGGGGCGGCCACUGUUGUUGCGUUGAGAAGAACCCUGGCCGCCGAGUUUCAGCGUCCUCGGCGAAUGCGUCACGGACAGCGAUCUGGGGCGCCGAGGCUCGAUUGACACUGCAUUUGUGCAAUUUUGACCGCGUUCACGUGUCCUGCCCGCGCAGAACCGAACCAUGGCGUCCCUCGAAUUUUGGCCGGGGCCGUCGGGGCAAGACGGAUGCCACAUGUGCUCGGACGUGGAGAUGCAGGAUUACUUAUUCCAGCACGAACAAGACGGCAUGCUCGGCUUCGACCUGCCGCAUGUCGACGACGACAUUGGAAACGCGGACCCACUGCUGCUUGCGCCGAGUGGCGCCGGUUGCGGCCAGACGCCCGGCGCUGUCUACAACGUGUUGACACAGCUGCAGGCUGCGCCGCUGGGCUCGCUGGCCAUCGUAAAGCAGGAGCCGUCGGAAUCCUCACAUGGAAGCGCCGCGGGCUCGCCCAGCAACGACGGCCCGCUGUCCUCCAGCACGCCGCACCACCCCGCCCACCCCUCCAGCGCCUCGCUCUCCCCCUUCCACCCACAAGCACAGCACCACCACCACCACAGUCGCAACAACACGCUGCUGGGCAGCUGCGCUGCUGCGGGCGCCGGCUUCGGCUCCGGCAGCUAUGACAGCUCCUGCAGCGGCCCGACACUCGCGGCGCCCGCCGAGGUCGGCAGCGCCUCCGUGACUUUCUCCGCAACCGCCGUGCCCGCCGCCGCCACGGCACUCGCGGCCGCCAGCUCCCUGUCACAACAGCAGCAGCAACAACUGCAGCAGCAGUUACUGGCGUCUGGCAUGCCGCUCGUGUCCUUCUCCGCCAUCCCGCUGCCCGCCGGCCAGGAGCAGGCCGCCACCUGUGCACAGCAGGCACACCUGGCGGCGGCUGCGGCACCAUACAUCUCCGCCGCCACCGCAUCCAUGACCUCCAUGCUCAACAUCCCCAACCUGCACACCUACGCGCUCAGCAGUAGUACCCCUGCUGGCGCCGCCGAGACCGCCGCUGGCGCCUGUGCGAACGGCGAGUCGGGCUCGGCGAGCGGUGCGGCCCCCGCGUUUGAGCCGCACAUGGCCGUGACGGCUGCCCCCGCCGGCACCGCCGCCGGAGCGCCUGCCGUCAUCAUUACGCCGGCGCCCGCAUCCGCGCCAACCGCAAGCCUUGUGACGGACGUGUUCGCCUCACCCUUUGCGCAUGCCGGCAUGACGGCGCCGUCGGCGGCGCCGCCGCCACCGUCGCUGCUCGACGCCGCCGUCGCGGUCCAACAGCAGCUCGCCGCCGCCGCGGCCGCCGCCGCCGCCGCCGCCGCUGGCGGCGCCGCCGCCAUGCUGGCGACCUCCACGCCCUCCGCCGACGCCGACAACUUCGCCUUUGCCUUCAGCGGCGAUGACGAUGAUGAAGACCCCUCCUACGGCGCCUCUGCCAGCCUCGGCGGCAAGCGCGGCAGCUCGGCGGCGCCAUCCAAGGCCGCCAGCGGCGGCGGCGGCGGCGGCGGCGGCAACUGCCGGAAGCUGCCGCUGUCGCACUCGACGGUUGAGAAGCACCGCCGCGACCGCAUCAACCACCUCAUUGAGCAGCUUGGGGAGCUGGUGCCGGCCUGUGACCCACGCUACCGAGGCGCAGCAGCCGACGGCGAGGCCGCAGGUGGCGGCGGCGGCCUGAAGCGGCCCAAGCACGCCAUCCUGGCGGAUGCGGUGAUCCGCUACCGGCAGCUGCAGCAGGACAACGAGACACUGCGCCGCCAGCUGGCGGCGACGGCAGCGGCGGCCGCCGCCGCCGCGUCGGGCUUCAAGAACAUGCUCCAACAGCAGCAGCAGCAACAACAGCAGCAGACGGCGAGCGGCGACGGAACGUCAGCGGUGGCUGUGGCUGCGCUAACGGUUCCGUCAACGCUGCCUGCCGCCACUGCCUUCGCUGAGGCCGCGCCCGUGGCGGCGUCCAGUACGGCCGCCGCCAUGGCCACCUCACACUCGGCCGCGCCGUCCCUGCCCUCUUCACCCACGACGCCCGCAGCGGCGUCCGUCGCUGCGCCCAGCGGCGCCGCCGGCGCCGCCACGUCAGCGACGAUGCAGUCUCUGCUCGUCCAAGCCGCCGCCGCCGCCGCGGCGGUGGGAGCCGCAGCGUCCGGUCGCAACGGCGCCGCUGCCGCGCCGGCUCCGCCGCCGCCUGCCGGCAGCGCCCUUGUUCCCGCGGCGGCCGCCUCCCCUGCCACCGCCGCUACUGCUGCUACGGCUGCUACGGCUGCUGCUUCUGCCGGCCUGAACCUGCUGCACCUUCCCUUCAUCAAGGCCGCCGCCGCCGCGGCCGUAGCCGCCGCCGCGUCCGCUUCAGCCGCUGCCCACGGCAGCGCGCCUGCCGCCGCUCCCGCCGCCGGGAUGCCGCAGCUGCCGGCUGGCUUCGUGCCCGUUGGCCUGAGCACACACGGCGCCGUCAGCAACAGCAGCAUCGCCGCCGCCGCCACCGCCACCGCCGCCGCCGCCGCCACCGCCGCCCCACGCUGCCAGCAGGUCUCGGCAACGGCACCACCUGGAGCCGAGCCCAAGGUCCCGCAGCUACAGCCACAGCCACCGCAACGGCUACAGCCGCAGGCGAAGGUGCAGGCACAGCCGCAGCACCAGACGGCGGGUCUGGUGAUGGUGCCGGUCUGGACCGGCGCCGCGCCGGGCGCCGUGCCGCCGCCGCCCGUCGCCAUCGCGCCCGCGCCGCCGCCCGGCUCAUCAUGCACCCCCUGGUCCAGCUGUAGCCACCUAGUGGCAGGCGCCGCCUCAGCAGUGGCGGCCGCUUCCACCGAGCCCUCCUCGUGCGGCUCGGUGGAAGAGGACGCAGCCGCCGCCGCCGCCGCUGCGGCCGAAGUGGAGGCGGAGGCGUCCACCGAGGUGCGUGUGGGCCCAAACAGCAGCGCCUCAGCCUCCGGCUCAGCCUCAGGCUCAGCCUCGGGCUGUGCGGCUGGUGCCAUGACGGCGGCGGCGGCGGCCGCCGCGGCCGCGCCUGCGUUGCCGGUGCUGCCCCAGCCGGCGGCCGCGCCCACCGCCGACGCUGCGGCUGCGGCGGCUGCGGCUGCGGUGGCGGCGGCGGCGGCGGCCGCGGCGGCGGCUGCUUCAGUCUCUGACGCCGCCGCCACCUCCGCCGCUGGCGCCUCCUCGUCUUCCUGGCUGGUGCGCAUCGUGUGCCCGCCCCGCCGGGACCUGGCGGCGGCAGCCACCCGCGCGCUGACCGCCGCUGGCAUUCGCCUGCGCGGCGUUAACGUCAGGUGCGCGCGCGUGUGUGUGUGUGUGUGUGUGUGUGUGUGUGUGUGUGUGUGUGUGUGUGUGUGUGUGUGUGUAUGCGUGUGUGUGCUCUGUGACUCCGAAUGCCCCGAUAUCUCGGCACCGCGUCGUGAUUACCGGCUGUGUGUAAUAGCUGCUCCGUGCAUACUCGCCCCCGCUGUCAUGUGGCUACCUGGCUGUUCCACUAGCUGCCUGACGCCUACCACCUGACGCCUGACACCCCGUGACACCUUGCGUGUAUCCACACCCACACACCCAUUCCCCAUCCGCCACACACACACAGCCCCGCGCCCGGCCCCGGCCACCGCAUGGCUCUGGAGCUGGAGGUGGAGUGCGGCGAGGACGUCAUGCCGCGGGGGCAGCAGGUGGGGCCGCGGAGCGUGUGUGUGUGUGUGUGUGUGUGUGUGUGUGUGUGUGUGUGUGUGUGUGUGCGUGUGUGUGUGUGUGUGUGUGCGUGUGUGUGUGUGCGUGCGUGCGUGCGUGCGUGUGUGCGUGUGUGUGUGUGUGUGUGUGUGUGUGUGUGUGUGUGUGUGUGCUCGCAUGCGGAGUGAGAAGGCUCAUGUGCCAAGGGGCUCCACAGAAUCACAAACUUAUCGCAACGCUCAUGCUCCAUUGAACCACAGGUCGGUGCCAUCCAAUGCGCCAUCCACGCCGCGCUGGCGGAGGCCGCUGACGUCGAGAACGUCGACAGUGGCGACACCACCGCGGCGGCGGCGGCGGCGGCGGCGCACAACGCGCUCAGAGGCGUCAGCGGCGGCGGCGGCGGUCCCAAGCGGCUGAUCCACCAGGCGCCGGCAGCGCCGCCGGGGGGUGGCGCUCGCAAGCGCUCCCGGACCCAUCGCUAGACGCUACGCGCCGCGCCGCUACGCGCCGCUUCGGCACCCUGCGCGAGAGGGGACGCGGCGGUCAAGGCAGGCUGUCAGCUCAUCGGCCAUGCCGGGCGCACGGCGGGAUGUGGGUGCAGCACCAGACACGCCGUGCCGCGGACCUGGCGUUGGGCAAGACAGGGUAUGUGCCAGUGCGGCACGGAAUCCACGUUUCCAGCAAUCUAAUGACGACAUGCAGUCCUGCGCACGAAGAGCACGAAGCAAAGAGCACGUAACAAGCUACUCGGCGCAGCGGGCUUGCCUCGCUGCUUUGCAGAUGCGGUGAGGGCGACUUUCAGUUUGAGGCAGGCGGUAGUAUCGACUUGGCGGCUGUGCUGAUCAUUUCAUCGGCGCGGAGGUGGAUGGGCCGGAGGGGCACCAGCGGGUCAGGGGGUCGCACGGCUAUGUGGUGCGUGGCAGGCGGUUGGGUGUGGCGGUUCUGGCAACCCGCAUCCUAAGGUCGCCCUUCUGUUUCUUGGUAGGUACAUGCUUGUUGUUGGGUAGCGGACGGCGGCACCUGCAGUCGGGCAGAUCCGGUUUGUCCGCGGUGCCCAGGACUGCGGAUUGCGGAGGGGUUUGUGGGCAGGAUAAUGGCUUGGGUAGCGGUAGUAACGGAGGCCUCCUUGGGGUGAUACGACCAGAACACACCGCGCAUGAGGCAACCGCAUGACAGGUCAUGACCGGUCAUCAAGCGUCUGGACUGCUUAGCCGCUAGACAUUGAGAGGUAUUGAAGACAUACAUUACGUGCACAGCACGAGCACAGAUAAUAAUAGCCCGGGCAAACACCUUACAUCGCCGCUCACAGCUGUCCGACGCGGAGUGUUCUCCUGUUGUGGCUGCGCGGCGAUGAGAUUCUUUGUGUGUCGUGCGAGGGAGCAUGUGCGUCCUGUCCUUGGAGCGUAUGCAUGUUGAUCCAAUCUAGGAACCGUCGGUACGAAUGGGCUUGUAUGCUGUGGAUUGGACGGCGGAUGUAUUGGGUCAACUGCUAAGGGGAGUGUUAGGACGCUGGUGUUAGGGCACCUGUGCGAGCGCAGAAUGUUUCUGCGCCUGCGGGUGCUGUGUACGGUAAACUGGUUAAUCGCGGGAACUUCGUUGGGCUCUAAAACGCCACACGAUCGUCGUAUUGGCGGGGCGUUCGGCCGUGGGUUGCUUGUCCGUACGCUUUUUGGCGUCUGGCUUUACAGCAUGAGUGGGAAUUCAAUCUUGCAUUUCAGCAUGAGCGGUAGGAUGGGAGCAAGCACUUGGUGUGCAAUAGCUGUAUGUGUGUGUGUUUCGCUUUGGUGCUGCUGUGGGUAGCGUUCUGUGCAGUGUAGGUGCGUGCCGCAUGCAGCCAAUCGAGGUGGUUGGGAGCGGUUGCGCGCGUGAGAUGAAGAAAGCGUGCAGAUACGAAAAGGCUAGAGACCUGCGUGCAUCAUUCCAGCGCCUGGCAUUUGCUGUGCGCGUGAGGACCAACUGCUGCGUGUUCCAGUUUCGCGCAUUAUUCGAGACGAGCAAGUGCUCUGAGCUGUGGACUUAGGGUGUGAAUGCGAUGGGCGCUAGGACGCAAGAUGGCAUGAGCGUAAUGUUGCGCAUGCGUGCUCAAAGCUAUUAAAGCUAAUCAGUGUUGGUGGCAAGCUUCGACUGGCUUCGGCUGCUGCUGCCUGCUUCCUAUCACGCUGAGUAUUGUCAAUCUGUCGCACUGCUGGCACGCCCUGAAGCGUGUCCUGCAGGCUCACGCGCUAAUCAAUUGCAGCGCUGAGCAAAGCAUAAUAACGAAAGCACGGUUUCUGGGGUUCCCUGCUUACUGCUGGUUGUAGUAGCCGCUGCCGCUGGUGCUGGUGUUGCUAGUCGUGUUGGUGGUGGCGGCGGCGGCCGCUCCAUAGCGCCACCGGCUGAUGGAGUUGAUGCCCUUCAGCACACUGUUCCCGCGGUAUCGUCCAGGGUUUCUUCACGUGAUGAGGCGCUGAUACCAGGAUCUCUAGAUCCCACGUGGGCGAGUGUCCCUGCGUACCUUGGCCGCAGAGGGCAUCGGCACGGUGUAGGGCGCAUGGGGACUGCGGGCCGUAUUGACGUGGCUACUGUUGGGCUGCAUUGCUGGCGCCUGUUGCUGUGAACCUGUGGUAAUAUGACAGGAACAUUUGCCGGGUUUUCAACUCACUAGAAGCGGCCUGGCAUUUCAAGGUCAGCUAGGAGUUUCCCGGGGGUUUCAGUCCCCCGCACGCGCGUGUGCUAGCGGGGCUUGUGUUUAAUGCAUUGCUGAUGCUGCUGGUUACUGGCGGUGAUGAGGGUGCUAAAUGCGUUGCAGAAGUGGAAGAUGUCAGGUGGAGUGGGCUAGUGCUGCAUCUGCGGCUGGAAGUGGAUGACCGGUUGUGAGGCGGCAAAUUCAUCAUGUGUGCCCGGCACGGUUGCCCGGCGCCUAUGCGUUAUUAGCGCGCCCGGCUCGUUUCGGGACGGGAGUCACGGGAGUUUACUAGGCGGUGCCUAGUAGGCGCGUGCGUAGGCCGGCUCGUUUGCCUAGUGUCCGUGACAUACAUGUAGCGGUCACUAGGGAGAGGGGGCCAUUUGUGUUUUUAGCCGUCCUGCGGGGCAAGUUGUAGCAGGCGUAUGCGGGGCAGUGGGGGCAGUGACGCCCACGUCGUUGCGGCGCUAAUCUGUAAUGAAUGGUAGCAUUUUGCCAUUAGCAAGGCUGGCAUAAGGGCAGUUUGGGGAGUGGUUGGUUCAAGCAUGGUUCAAGCAUACGUUGUUGGUCGUGUCGUUGUCAUCGCUGUAAUUUGUAACCAGACAGUUAACCCGUGGCGCUCAUUCCUGUGCCGUGAUCCCGCACUCCAUGACAGUCUCUUUCCAGCCAGCCAGCAAUUUAUACAGUAACUACAGUAACUCGGCGUUCGACCAGCCGCGCACUCCUGCCCUGCCGUUGCAAGUUGUUUGCUAUCUGCUGGGGUCUGGGAAUCAGCUGCACCCUGCGCGACUUCACCAACCUGCCUUAACACUGUCCCAUCGCACGCCCAUGACACCCAAGGCCUCCGCACAACGCCAGUCCUCUCGCUCUGGGAUUCCCGUCGUGUUCCACAAUACAGCAUUCUCGGUGUUAGCAGCCCCUGCCAUCGCUGCGACAACGGGAGACUCAACCAACGUGUUCAGAUGUAGCAAUGAAAGCCCGCGGCUCCACGUCUCGUGCGCGGCUGUGCCAGCCAGUUCCGCAAUACCUAACAGGUCCCCGCCACGGGUCAGCGACACACCACCCAUCCUGCAAACGCAUACGGUAGAUUAGCCUCGGCAGCGCGCACACAUGCCACAUCCCCAACCCCAGCCUCGGCCUCGACCAGUGCCCCACUCCUCACGCUGCCCCACUCCUCACGCGCCCUACUUAUCCUCCUUGUCUUUAUCCUUCUUCCCCCUCCCGCCCCCUCCCCCUCCGCCUGCUCCACCCCCUCCCCCUCCCGCCGGCGCCGCGCCGCCCGCCCCUACACGCUGCCAGCUGCCUGCCCCGCUGUGCGCGUCCACCACGAACUCCUCCUCCACGUCCGUGAUGCGCAUGCCCGCCGGCGCGAAGCCGCUCAGCAGCGCCAGCAGGUCGCGCUCCACCGCCGCCACCUCGCCCGGGUCCACCUGCGGCGGCGGUGAGGCGCGGGGGUGAGGCGCGGGGUUGAGGGCAAUGGGGUUGAGGGUAAGGGGGAGGAAGGGCAAAGGCCAGGUUGAGGGCGAAGGGUCCGGGUUGAGGGUAAGAAUGCGUUAACGGAGGGCAAGGGUUGAGGGUAAGGGAGGGCAAGGGAGGGUAAGGGAGGGAAACGGAGGGCGGUGAUGGGAGCACGGGGUUGUCGUGGGACGGUACUAGAGAGACAAGGGGGCAGAGGGUGUGUGGUAGGUAAGCCCAACGUGCGCUGGGCUGCGCUGCAAGAGGGCGAGAGUCAAGCCAGUCAAACUACUGGUGGGCCGGGCUGGACACCGCUACGGCUGCCCAAGCACUGUGUGAGGUCUCCCCCGCACUGCCCCUGUGGUGCGCCGCACCUUGGGCACCGGCUUGAAGUGCCGCUGCCGCGCGUUGCGCAUGGGCGGCGUGACGCCGUCUGCCGCCUCGGGGCCGUCGGGCAGGGAGGAGCCGGGCGG
rnacentral:lncRNA from 1 species